GAAAAAACUUUCAAACCUCAAACCAAACUCCCUAUUUUGUUAUGUCACAAAGGAAGCUAAAGGUAUGCCACACUAAGAGGAAGGGACAGGAAGAGGGAGGGAAGCCAACAGGCUGAAAGGUGGGGACAGGAGAGGAGAGGAGAGGUGUCAAGUUUAUAUAUAUACAGCAAACAUUUUCCCUGAAAAUGUCCAAAAGAAAGCAAGCAAACAAUGGGUUCUGAAAAACUAACUAAAAUCUAAACACAUUUGUAACUUAAAGCCACCAAUAUGUUGAAAUACUUUAGAAAUACUGCAAAAUGUAGAUUCUGUGACUGGUUAAGGUGGCAUAAGAUCUGUGAAAACUGUAAGAAAGAGUUUCUAAAGGAACUGAAGGGGAAAAACAGAUCCAUUUGGAGACGUCAACGGAGCAAAUCCCUAAGGAAUCUACGCAUAAGGAGCAAAAGAACCAGGUACCAAUCACUCAGGGCAAGUAGGAGAAGAUGUCUAAUAAGAAGACUACUUCUAGAACAAGGAGGAGGAGGAGAAACAUAAGCAUGAGGAAGACAGCUAUUGUGCAACAAUUUAGGAAAGAACAAGAAGGAAGGCUCUUUGGAACCACAUGAGCAAGGUUUGCGGCCACUGGUCAUUCCCUCAGUAAACUUCAAGCAGCAAA